UUUUUUUAUGGAAGAAGAUAAUAUUGGAACCGUAGGCUGUGUAGAGGAUCAAUGACGCGGCUGUGAGAACGCUCGUUAUUUCCUCGCUAAAAAGGCCGCUAUUUCUCAGUGGCAGGUGUUGCAUGCUGGAAUAAAGGCUCACAGUGCAUGGAGUGGUAUGGCGAGUGGAGGUGGGGACAGGCUGCGAGUGGCGACAGCAGUGAACUUGCGGCACAAAAUGGAUGCUCUCGUGUCUGACCUCUCUCAUGCCUUGGAUGAAUCUCAGCUUCCACAAUACCACCGCAAGAGACGAGGUUUCAAGCGUCGUGCCAAACUAGCCACGAACCUGAGCUUAUCAGGCAAUCGUGCACUGAGUGAAGAUUCAUCAAGCAGUAUUGGUGAGGUUGUCCUCUCCCAGGACAACAAAUCAUCAAUACCUCUGUCAGACUCGGAUGAUAUGAGUCCCCCUCCCGAGCCCCGUCACCGGACUCUACUCCUCACACAUCACAGAACGCCUUCAAACCUUGCCGAAUCCGACUCUCUUAACGAGAACUUUUCACCUGCCCGACCACAUAACCGCAGUGUCAACCCUUUUUUAUGUAGGAAAAGGAAAUGCAAGAGGUUAGCCUUAGACCCAGAUGCGCCUUCCACUUCCACAACACAAACCUCGGCUGCUAUGCUGUCUGGCCUGCCGAUGGCCAAACCCACUGCCAUUGCCUCGGCCAUUUUGUCAGGAGCUUCCAAUAGUCGCAAGAAGAAGGUUCUGAGACCGUCGCCUGAUUCGGAGUACCGGUAUAUGGCAGUAUCUGCUGGAAAACGAAAACGAGGCAGAGAACGAAGUGUGGAAUGGUGUGGUGGACAACACGUUUCACACAGCAAACGCCAUGGGUCGUCGUCUAGUCAUUUUCAUAAUCUACGUGUCCACCAUCGACCAUCCCAGGCAAGCACCGAGGACAGCAUGGAGUUCGACUGCUCAGAUGAUGCCAAUAUGGAACACAGUAGCAGCGAGAGCAGCAGCGAGAGUGAGGCUGGCAUAUACACCUGUGAUGAGGGAAGAGAGGCUGAUGAUGAGCAGAGUGACUGGUUUGCCGAGCCCGAUCCUGUGUAUGGGGUACCACCCGGGACCACGAAUGGUCCCCGGCAGCGAAAUACUUCAAAUCGUUUGACGUGGUGGAAUGACAAUGAAUUUGGUCUUUCUUCUUCGGCCAAGGCUCUGUUCAAAGAGAGGUAUGAGACAAUGUCCGUGGAGAACCAACAAGCCUGCAGACUUAGAUUCCAAAAGCUGAGAGAGAGGCUUUUGAGACGUGAAAUUCGUGCUGGACGGAGACGAAUACGAGACAGGAAGCCUGGGUUUAGUAUAGUGUCAUCGGUGAAUGACAAGGUCUCAAGAUUUCUGCAGGAUCCGAGGCAGUCCGAGCUCCGCCUGAGGCCUAUGACGGAUAAAGACAGAGACCAGCUGAAUCAUCUGGCCGACUUGUAUUCUCUCACCAUACGUAGCAGCGAUGACCAAACCGCUCCCAUACUCACCAAGACCAGGAAUACUAUCACCAAGCAGAGGCUGGAAGCAGAUGGUGAAGCGUUGGCCUCCUUCCCAGGUGGUUUGCCAGUACCCGUUAGUGACUUGAAGCGCCGCAGACGGACGCCACCAUUGCCACCCAAUAACGUGACUGAGGGCAGCAAUGACUCGGUCGAGAGCAUAACCAAUAGUACGGGUUUAUCCGGUACUGCAUAUCGUCCACCAGUGCCUAGUGUUAGUUGGGACGAUGAUAUUGGCGACUGUUGCGCCGAUUCACUCUCGGAGCGGCCGCAGACGGACGCCACCAUUGCCACCCAAUAACGUGACCGAGGGCAGCAAUGACUCGGUCGAGAGCAUAACCAAUAGUACGGGUUUAUCCGGUACUGCAUAUCGUCCACCAGUGCCUAGUGUUAGUUGGGACGAUGAUAUUGGCGACUGUUGCGCCGAUUCACUCUCGGAGCGCUUGGCUGAUUCCGAGCCUGAUCCACUUCCCUCCCCUACAUCUCUUGGCCUUCAUGAUUGUACUUUGUAAAUUGUAUUUCGCAAUGCUGUCACACCUCACUGCCAUGGUUCGUUGUAUCUGCGCAUUUCGUAUAAUUCUGAAAUGCUCAUGUGUAAUACAGUACCUUCAUAACCAUUCAUUAAUAUUUAAUGAUGGAAAAGCUUUUAAAUCAUCCUUAAUAGUCACUCAUUUCAGUACAGUACUUCUAUGUUGUCAGUGUGCUACAGUACUUGUGUUAACAAAAUAAUUUAACAGUACAGUAUUUUCAGUUAUGGAUGAAAAUAACUUUUCUUCCUUGGAAAAACUGCCAAUUUAUAUUACAAUUUGAAAGUAAAGUCUUGCUUUUUCCUUAAAGGUAAUAAAAGGACCCCUUGAAUAUUAAGUAAAAUAAUUGUAAACCACUACUACAGUCUAUCCCAUAUACAGUAAUGUAAACCGCUUGUGAUUAUUCAAUACAAUUUUGCAUUUCAUUCAUAACCAAGUAUGUCUGGCAAUACCCUAAUUGUUCUCUUGAUAAGUUGACAGUUUUUAUUAAUUCAUAUUUAUGAUGUAGCUAUACUGUCAUUGUAAAGUAAUGGGAAAUAAGCAAGAUAUAAAAAUAAUGAAAAUCAAAGAAUAGUGUACAGUAGAUUCCAAAUUAAAUGACACUCGAUCUGCCCUUAACUUAAAUGCACUGGAAGGAUUCUGUUCUCGGAGUAUAAUUGUUAUUAGUUACUAUGAAAAGUAACGGAAUAUUACUCACUUCUUGUGGAGCAAUGCCAUGUAUUACCUUGAUUGAAAUUCAAAUUGAUUUCCUUACAAUCAAAUCAAAUCAAAAUAUUUCAGUAUGUACUUUUUUCAAAUGGUUUUGGGAUUAAAAUAUGCACAAAAGCAUGUUCUUUUAUAAUUGUACUAAAUGCAUGUAAUACUUUUUGUAUACAUUUGCUAUUUUUUCAUUUUUUGUUUAGAUUGCAAACAAUAGCAAACUCCUCACAUGCAACAGAACCCUGGUUACUAGAGAAGGAUUUGAGUGCAAAUCUGGCCAUUCCAGCAGGAGUAUUCUGUAUUGAUGUGAAUGUACAGCAAUGACAAUUCCAAGCAGCACAUUACAAGAUUCGGGAAUAAAUUCUCCCUUUUAACUUAUAGGUACCAAUAAAGAUACAUUUUUUAACAGGGUAAAAGUGAAUGAAAUUAUGCACAGUCAUUACUGAGGGUCAUACACCAGACAUGAUAUCAUAACAAGAAUUGAUUACAUCAUUACCAGGCAAAGUGCACUAAGUAACACAGUUAAGUAUUAUCAAUUGCUGAUACAUUUGGGAUAGUGCUUGUUGUUGUUAUAGAUUCAGCUACCGGGAACAAAAAGUUCCAAGUAGCACGGGCUAUGGUGAGCUCGUAGUGGACUUGCCUGGCACAAGGAGUGAAGCUGUAACUGGAUAGUGCUUGUAUAAUCAGCAGUCACGAAGUUACCUUCCACCACUCUAGAAAACACCAUGUGUAUUUUUGUUACCCAUCUCAGGAUUAGAGGACUACAUAAAAUGUGGUGUAAUUAUCCAUUUUAAUUUUCACUUUUAUUCUGAUGCCUAAACUAAAAUUUAUAUUAUACAUAUAAUAUAUAUAUACAGUAUAAUAUAUUCUCUUACUCGGCCCAUCCUAAAAUGAAAUUACUUAGAGUAACAAUGUGGUUGAUCGUACGAAUAUGGUCGUGAAGGACCAAUAUCAAAGUAGACACUUCAAUUACUGUAUUGGCAGCACUUUUUGAUAAUUACUUACUGUGUUGAUUUUGGAUAAACUGGAAACUGGAAUCCAUUUUUCUAUUUGUUGCUAAUGAAACCUAAAUAAACCUAAUCAUUCUAUCUUGAGGUCAUCUUGAUGAUUUCAGGCCUUAGCGGCCCAGUCCUCAACCAGGCCUCCUUUUUGUUACCCCCAGGAAGCAGCCCGGAGCAGCUGUCCAACUCCCAGGUACCUAUUUACUGCUAUUAGACUCCUAGGUCUAAUAUGCACUACCAGAGGCCUAAUAUAGUACAUAAUGUGCUAUACUAGGCCUAGGAAUAUUUAAGUUUGGGUUUUAGCUUCAUUUUUUUUUUGACUUGUCAAAUCAAAAGUACUGAAUUCUAUUUUCCAUUUGUCCAUCAUGUCGAUAUUUGUAUGAUCAUCCAAUUUUCAAUUUUUCUUUAUUAUGCACCUCAUACCCAUCCCAUGGGCGGUGGGGGUAAAGGGUUACAGAGGCACAUAAUUGGUUCGGGAACUGAACCCCCCUAGUUCGUUUAGCUAAGCAAAUAACAAUCUUUUGACGUUAGCCAGUUACAGAAAGUACUGUACCUUGUUAUCAGGAAGAUGGAUUGAGAGAGAGAGAGAUUAUAUAUGUAUAUAAAAUAUACACACACACACGGUAUGUAUAAAUAUUUAUUUAGACUACAGUAAACCUUUAGUGUCACUUGCAUUGGAAUGAUUAGGAAUUAAACGGCAUUAUUUCUCGAUCACAUCAAAGGGGAGCUCUAACACUCCCACCAACUUUUAUAACAUAUGGUUGCUAGAUAGAAAAAAUACACAAUUACCGUCAUAGGUGUAAGAAAAAAUACACAAUUACCGUCAUAGGUGUAAGAAAAAAUACACAAUUACCGUCAUAGGUGUACUAGGCUCUAGGAGGCUAGUUGUCUGACAUUUUAUGGCAGGUUGUAUAUAUGUAAAUUCCAUUUCAUUACAAAGUAAUAUAUUUAUAUAUACAGUAUAUUUAUAUAUUUAUAAGCUAGGGUAACCCAUGCAACGAGGUACUGCAUAAUUAAUAAGUCUGUGGUUAAGGGCACGUUUUUCAUUUCUUAAAAUUGGUCAAUGUAAUUUUGAAUAUUUUUUGUAACUUCUUGUAAAAACUUAUAUUUAGAUUUAAUCAAUUAAAUGCAGUUUAUACUAUAUUUGAAUGGCAUUAUUGACUGCAGUCAUAUAUUUGUGAGCCUUUCACUUUUAAGACACAUUGUACCAGUUGGAAAUAGUACUGUAGUAACAAUUACUUAAUAUACUUUGAAAUAGCACCAAACACCACUGUUCUUGGUUUUAUAAGUUUAAAAUAGAAUUGCCACUAAUUCAAGAUGCAGUGCAAGAAAUUAUAAAUUGCUGUGUAUUUCCCACUUGCAUUAGUAUUUGAUAUCAAAGUUGUUGCGUCAGUGACCCAGUUGUGAUCUUAAUAAUUUGACAUAGAACAUUUUUCAUUGGGAAAUGAGAAUUAUUUAAGUUUACGCAGGAAACUUUAUCACUGUUCAGUGCUGUGAAAUUAUAUAUCGGAAUGAAGUUACCAGUAGUAAUGUGGGUCAAUAGUACAAUUGUUAAGAUAAUGGACUUUAGGCUUAUGUAAAUCAAGGUUAGAAUUUUUGCAUUAAUCCAUGUGUGUGCGAAUACAUGUAUAUAUUUUAACAUUUUGUUAAUUGGAGGUUUGCCGUAUAUAACAAGUGUGUUAAAUGUUCAUUUAUUUAUUUAUAUGUAGAUUAAAGUACAGUAAUGUUAUUUACUUGGUGUGUUAAUUUAAAAAAAACAAGUACAGAUUGAAAAUACACUAGUUAGUUCUGACGAUUACAGUAUUUAAUUUCGACUAAUAUUUGUUAAAAAAUGAAAGAUGUGACUGAAAUCAUAUUUAAUAUGAAAUUUGUAUGUAUAAGCAAGACUGGUAUGUUUGUGGUCAUCGGUACUUUUCCCGCACAUUCCUAUAAGAUAAGUCAAUCAUUCGCCUUCAUCACUUGUUUACUCCUCGUUCAUACUCUGUUAUGCUUUCCAUAACCAGUGAAUUUUGUCACGAGAUGACACGAUCUUCUCCCACUUGAUCUGUCAUCUUUAACACUGUCAACAUGUAAAGUCAACCUGUUUGGCACCACUGUUAUUACCUGGUUGAUGGGGUUCUGGGAGUUCUUCUACUCCUCAAGCCCGGCCUGAGGCCAGGCUUGACUUGUGAGAGUUUGGUCCACCAGGCUGUUGCUUGGAGCGGCCCGCAGGCCCACAUACCCACCACAGCCCGGUUGGUCCGGCACUCCUUGGAGGAAUAAAUCGGGUCAUGUGUUCAGCACCCAGUCUUAACAUUGUCAUCUCUCUACUGCAUUUGCCAGUUUUGUUUACAUUCUUUGUAUAUGUUGGCUUAUGUUUAAGCCCUGGGAGGCACAGCCAGUAACCAAAGAAACUAUUUACAAUUUUGUCCACUAACUAGAGAAGGGAGGUUAAACAUAAAUCCUGUUGAUUGGCCUGUUGGCUUAUAGCUGUGAUCUGAUCUGAUACAACACACAAGGCUGUAAUUAUGUAUUUUAAGAAAUUCAUAGCCUUCCUGGUUUGGUGCCUUCUUUUGAUAAUUACUUACUUCCUGGGGGUACUUACCCCGGUACUGCACUCAUUUAAUUCUUUCCUACACUGGUCUUCUUUCCAAGUACAGUAUCCACAAAUACAUUAGUGCUAUGUUCAACCUAUAUUUUUUUUCUGCAAACACAUUACUUGUAAGUUUGUCGUGGUGUCCUGCACAGCACACUUCAACACCAUUAAAGUGAUGUAUUCUUUGUUAUGAGAGGGUGGAUCAUUCACAGGCUUGCAUCGCUAAUAACACUUGGGGGCUGAUCAAUUCCUGUAUUUAUUUGCAUAAUGGUCUUGUGUGUUGCUGAUUAGUGAUGUAUUAACAGUGUAAGCCCCAGCCUUUGUGCCCUUAAUAUUGAAUGUGUAAUAAUUGAUCAUGUCCCACAGUUUGACAAAAUGCCUUAAUUAUAUUUGUUAAAGAUAACAUCUUUGAGAGCGCUAUCAAUGUCUGGUCUGUCGUGCUAUCAUCUCUAUAUAUUGAUAUACCAAGGUAAAUGUUUAAAAAUGAAAAAUAAUGGAUAGAACUAACCGACUUGGGGGGGGAAAAAAAAGUACCCAGUAUUAUUUAUGCUUUGAUGUGUUGUACACUAUUUUUUAUAGCCAUUUUGCUGUGUGGUAUAUUUUUCUUUUGCUAUUUUCAGAAAUUAUGUAGAGCUGUUAGGGAUGAGCCGUACAUAUCUCGGUUAGCAGAAAGUGUUUUUCAUAACUUUUUCCAUUAUAUUUGUGGUGUAAACAUGUAGUUUUGGGUCAUUGUAAAGGUAAAUAACUUAAAUAAUUGCCAACAAAUACACUUUAAAACUGAUUUGAGUUUUUUCUGACCACAUCAGAGGUCAUAAAUGUACAAAUGAAACAUUAAUCAGGGUAUUUUUAAAUACUGUAUUAAAUUAUACUCUUGUGUAAACAAAUCCCUUAUAAAAUGGCACAAUGUUUCCAGACAGUAGAACAUACAUUUUCUUGGUCAUUCAUAGGUUAAUUGUUCCUAAUAUAUUUGUUGUACAGUAUAUUCGAGCUAAAUAGUUUGUGAAUUAUUUAUGAUAGUUUAAAAUAUACAAUUUUGAAAA
rnacentral:misc_RNA from 1 species